AGGGCCGAGAGCGAGCGCCGGCCCCGCGUCUCGUCAUCGUCGUCAUCGUCGUCGACGAUGUUCCCCGCCGCGGUGGAAAACCAGCCUGCGCGCGGCGGCUAGCUGGAAUCUUUGAGAAUACCGAGCCGACAGAGACGCUGGAAGAACGUGAUAAGGCGCGAUUCGUUGUCCAUAGGAUGUACAGCAGGGUAAGGGAGCUUGCAGGAAGGAGGAAGAAGGAGACACGAACGAUCCUUCCGCUCGACUUGAGCCAAUCGGCGGAUACAAGUUGGUUAUGUAGACGCGGUUGAAUAUACGUAUACCUAUAUAACAAACAGUUAUACCAUCCUGCGACGAAACCGGGACAUUAAUUACACGUGGCGUUUGUCAGAGGCAAAACUUAUGAUCGUCGUCGUGUGUCAAUGACCACCGUGACCCUGUUUAUUACAUCUACGUACACAUUGAACGUAUAAUUCAUUAUAUGGCAUAUGAUUAUACAAACGGCUCCAAAUCGAAGGCUACAUGAAUGCGCUGUAUAAAAACAAGGACCUUCACGGCCAGAAUGAAGGAGAACGACGCGUGACACAUUUGAGGAUAUUCGAUGUUAUUCAUGGCUUACAAUUAAUUUUCCGUAAACUCUCUCUGCAGGCUCCGUCUCUGCACUGACAAUAUGCCUGUUCAUUUAUAUUGCGCAGUAAACGGUAUAACAACAGCAACAGCGAAAACAACAAUAAUAAUAAUAAAAGGUUAGCAGGAAAAUAGUCUUCUUUAAUGUUCCUUUUGUG